ensembl:lncRNA
CUGGUUAGGCCUGCAACCAAGAAUAUGGAUUUGUUUUACAUUGGAAUAAAUGGGGAAACACUUUGCUACAUUUUGUUCCCUUCCCGAAAGGGUUAUCUAAUGCUAGGAAUAGCCUCCCUAGCACCCUGCCAGGCUAUUUGCUAGAUUAACAUAAUAAUUUGCUAUCCACCUAGUAACGACCACUAUUUACCCAAUUUGUAGUUUAGUAAUCCUGCCCUACCAUAAUGUAUGUAGGCUAUAACUUGUCUUGAAAUAUAUAUCUAUCACAAUAGCCGUAGGUUACCUGUUGCAUGGUUGAUAAACACAAAAAUACCAAAGGACAAUAAGAACUUAUUCAUUUCAUUGAAUCGUUUUUUGAUAGUUUCUAUAGUGUUUGUAGGAUAAGCAUAUGAUUUUGUUAUAAAUUGCUACUAUUUUCCCCCCAAAAUAAUAAAAACCAUGACGGAUAUAAGUUUGCCUUUUCAAGAGGGUAUAUAGCAUUAGACACUGCCAGCAGUGUAAUAAUAGCUCGUCUUUGAACCCAAGCAUAUCUGAGAGGCGAAAAUUUUACACAGUACUGGGGGGGGCCCGUCGAGAGACGUAUGUAUAUCUUUGGGCCCGGCUACGGGCCCUGACACCCCACGGGCCCAGGUGCUGCUGCACCUCCUAUAGUUACGCCCCUGUUCACACCUCAGUUUGCUUCCUGAGCCCAGGUGUCUGAGCAAUACCAGUGUGGGGUCCUUUCCUUUGUUACCAUGAUAAGGAAAGCAGGCCCUCCAAGGAAGGGAAGGUUUUCGCAGCCUUCAGUCGGCAUGCCUGUGGAUAGUUAUCUCGGUCACCCCUGCCCACACAUCACUAUGCCCAGACUUGAUACAUAUUUAAAUAUAGAGUGCACAUAAUGUAAUUCAUAUCAAUAGUGUAAAUCAUUUUGUAGUAGUAUAUUAGUCUUAGUAACUUGUUAUCAUGAAUAUUCUAGUGUUUAUACUGAUUGUUAAUAUUCUACUAAUAUUCUACCCACACUGGUUAUUAUACUGAUUGUUAAUAGUCUACAGACACAGAUUGUUGAGUUCAUUCACAUAUUUUCCACCACACUGCCCCUGUUUCCUUCUUUCAUCCCUCUCACUGAGAGUGAGGUCUCCAAAAUUCUAACAGGUAGCCAUCCUACUACAUGCCCGCUGGACCCCAUCCCAUCCAACAUCCUUGAAGCCAUAUCGCCUGCCGUCUUACCGGCAAUC